UCCUUUGACGUUAGCGGCGGACGGGUGAGUAACACGUGGGUAACCUACCUAUAAGACUGGGAUAACUUCGGGAAACCGGAGCUAAUACCGGAUAAUAUUUCGAACCGCAUGGUUCGAUAGUGAAAGAUGGUUUUGCUAUCACUUAUAGAUGGACCCGCGCCGUAUUAGCUAGUUGGUAAGGUAACGGCUUACCAAGGCGACGAUACGUAGCCGACCUGAGAGGGUGAUCGGCCACACUGGAACUGAGACACGGUCCAGACUCCUACGGGAGGCAGCAGUAGGGAAUCUUCCGCAAUGGGCGAAAGCCUGACGGAGCAACGCCGCGUGAGUGAUGAAGGUCUUCGGAUCGUAAAACUCUGUUAUUAGGGAAGAACAUACGUGUAAGUAACUAUGCACGUCUUGACGGUACCUAAUCAGAAAGCCACGGCUAACUACGUGCCAGCAGCCGCGGUAAUACGUAGGUGGCAAGCGUUAUCCGGAAUUAUUGGGCGUAAAGCGCGCGUAGGCGGUUUUUUAAGUCUGAUGUGAAAGCCCACGGCUCAACCGUGGAGGGUCAUUGGAAACUGGAAAACUUGAGUGCAGAAGAGGAAAGUGGAAUUCCAUGUGUAGCGGUGAAAUGCGCAGAGAUAUGGAGGAACACCAGUGGCGAAGGCGACUUUCUGGUCUGUAACUGACGCUGAUGUGCGAAAGCGUGGGGAUCAAACAGGAUUAGAUACCCUGGUAGUCCACGCCGUAAACGAUGAGUGCUAAGUGUUAGGGGGUUUCCGCCCCUUAGUGCUGCAGCUAACGCAUUAAGCACUCCGCCUGGGGAGUACGACCGCAAGGUUGAAACUCAAAGGAAUUGACGGGGACCCGCACAAGCGGUGGAGCAUGUGGUUUAAUUCGAAGCAACGCGAAGAACCUUACCAAAUCUUGACAUCCUUUGACAACUCUAGAGAUAGAGCCUUCCCCUUCGGGGGACAAAGUGACAGGUGGUGCAUGGUUGUCGUCAGCUCGUGUCGUGAGAUGUUGGGUUAAGUCCCGCAACGAGCGCAACCCUUAAGCUUAGUUGCCAUCAUUAAGUUGGGCACUCUAAGUUGACUGCCGGUGACAAACCGGAGGAAGGUGGGGAUGACGUCAAAUCAUCAUGCCCCUUAUGAUUUGGGCUACACACGUGCUACAAUGGACAAUACAAAGGGCAGCGAAACCGCGAGGUCAAGCAAAUCCCAUAAAGUUGUUCUCAGUUCGGAUUGUAGUCUGCAACUCGACUACAUGAAGCUGGAAUCGCUAGUAAUCGUAGAUCAGCAUGCUACGGUGAAUACGUUCCCGGGUCUUGUACACACCGCCCGUCACACCACGAGAGUUUGUAACACCCGAAGCCGGUGGAGUAACCAUUGGAGCUAGCCGUCC
rnacentral:rRNA from 1 species